AACAUUUGCUUUGCUUUACACAGGAAUCGGGAUUAAGGACAAAAAGGAUCGUGCCGAAUUGCGUUGAAUUGAAGCGCAGCGCAGUGCCAAAGUCGACGGCAACCGAGUAUCGAGCGGGGGCGGCCUGCGUCGAGUAACGACGGAGCUAUAAUCGAGGGGGGAAUCGCGGACAUUUAAUCGAACACCAUGGCUUCACGAGGGGCAAACGUAUUGCUCUCAAGGGCGAACAGGAUGAAGACGAAGUUGGAAUCAGCUCUAUCAGCGAGUGUUUUGGAAAUCGAGGACGUUUCGCACCAGCACGCUGGACACGCGGCGGUGAAGGGCAGUGCUGGAGAAACUCAUUUCAAUGUGAAGAUAGUGUCUCCGCAGUUCGAAGGGCAGAGCCUCGUGAAGCGCCAUAGAAUGGUAUAUGAUGCGUUGGCUGAUGAACUUCAGUCUGGAUUGCAUGCAAUUUCAAUAGUGGCAAAGACUCCCCAAGAAACUGGAGGAAAAUGAGUCUCAGAUUCACAUCCCGAUGUGAGUUUUCGAAGAACUCUUAGUUUAGAAUUGUAAGGAUUUUAGGCAUUUAUGCUGGUUCUUGUCUGAUGUUUUAUUGACAUGAAAAUGAAAAUGAAAGGUGCAAGGAGUUCUUAAUGGCACAUUAAUUUGGUUUGAGUUUAUGUACUUCUAAGAUUUUAGUUGUUGAAGCUAAGAUAAGCUACUUAUCAACUUCAUGAGAUGAGUUGAAAGCUUUUAAAUUCCA